GUAAACUGAUAAAGACUGAUCUGAGCUGCUUUCUGGGUGGGUAAGGGGAGAAGCAUUGUGAGCUGGGACUGGAAUGUGUUGCUGAGCCUGGAAAACACAACCCUGUGUUUUCCUCUGGGUGGAUAUUGAGGACUUGUGCUCAAUGUCCGGCCCCGUCAAGUCCUGGGGGUCCUGUUCUGCUGCUGAGCAUGUAGGCAUCAAUUGCAACAGCUCAGCCCAUCCUUGGGCUCCUCACCCCAUCACAAGUGAUUUUGCAAGGGAAAAAAGUUUAAAGUCCACCUCCUUACUCAACACCAACAUGCCCAGGUCUGCCAGCAAAAACACAAAGCACACCCACAGCAAUGCAGAGCUCAUUCUUUACCCCCAAAGGCCCCAUAAAGCCCCCCCAGAUCACCUGGAGGUGCAAAACCUGCUGAGGUCUUGCGUUGUCUUGCAGUGGAGGUGCAAAAGGGCAAGGAGCAGUGCCUGCGCAACGCCCUGGGCUGCUGCAAUCAGCCCAUCCUUUCUUGCAAUCCCUCUUGGCAGGCCAAGGCGAGCGGGGAGGGCCCUCUCACAUAGGCUGGCUGCUCUCCAAGGAGAAGCAAAUGCAAAUAUUUCUUCACUUUGGGCUGGGUGCGGCCUGGGGAUAAAAUUUCCCUGGUCUUUCCCAGAGAAGGCAUCCGACACCGUGCCCUGCUCCCAGGAACAUGAGAAUGUAGGACAAAAAACCACAAAGGUUAUCUUUCUUGCAGCUCUAGGGUUGCUAAAAGGAGCUGACAGGCGCGACCGUAAUAUUUUUAAACCAGCGAUCACGGUUUUCCUUUGUAACAAAAAAGGCCUUUCGCAGGUUUCAUUUGCAAGCUGAAGAUUUUGGUGCAGCAUAAGCAAGGCUGUAAAGGGAAACGGGUUGGAAACGGCCCCAUCAGCCGUGAGAAAUGUGAAAAGCAGGCGGUGGACUGAGGGAGAGCUGAGCUGGAUUCCUGGCGUGCCUUCCCUCUGCCAUCACUGCCUCCGAGGUGAAAGCUGCUGGGGAGCGGCGAGCAGGAGCCAGCACUGCAGCGAGAUGGGGAAACUGAGGCUGGAGCAGUCGAGAAGGGAGAAGGAAUGGCAACAGUGCUUUGUUUUUCUUUUAAAAUGGAUUUUAGAGCAGCUGGAGGAAAUCUUUUUUUUUAUUUCCCCCUCCCCCCUCUUUGGUUGACCUGAGUUAAUUGUGAGCAUGUCCCAGCUGGCUUGCUGCAGUGUCAUCCUUUCUGGCAGAGCAUUCGGAUCCAUUUUUUGCACUUCCCUGCGCUCGACACAACCUAAAAGCCAGCAGCUCUCAUGAAAUGUGCUCUGGUUAAGGGAGAGGGCUGGAAAGCAGCUGGAAUUGUUCUGGGUUAAAAAUAAGCGGAGCAGCGCGAGCCCUGAAAUCCUCCAGCUUCGUGAUUUGGAGCAUAGCCAGGAUGAAAAAAAAAAAAAAAGAAAAAAAAAAACGGGGAAAAAAAAAAAAAAAAAACAACAAACCACAAAGAAAAUAACACUGUGCUAUUGUCCUUCUAUCCAGAGAUCUGUUUACAGAGAAUCCCACAGCAGGACCUGCAUGGAUCGUCCCCUCCAUACGCAGCGCUGGGGGGUUAUUUUUAACGCAAUGUUUUCCAUACGCCAGGAAAAAAAAAAAAAAAUCGAUGCAUCCCAUUAUGCAAGCCUUGUUACCGGGCUGUAAAUGAUAUUCCGGGUUAUUAAAUAAAUAAAUAAGGCAAAAUAAAAUUAAAAAUCACCCAACCCACCCUAUUUCUGAAAAUAGACACGGGAGCUCUGACAGCAUCCAUCCUAUCAUCAGUGUGGAUUACAGCACCCUGCAGCCCUGGUUUUCCAGAUGGAAUUAAGGAUUUUUGCCCAGCUCUGACUUGGAGUGGUUUAUUUUCUUCAUUAUUUCUCUGGGGCGCUGAUGGGAGCCCAAAGGUGUGUGCUUUAUUUAAAAAUAUUUAUAUAGAAAAAGGCAGGAGGUGUCUAUCUGUCAGGGAGGCUCACGGACAUCAGCAAAGGGUGAGGGGAAUAUCUUCUGAAAUUAAACAUAUCCCUUAAUUCUGUGAAAGGUCAAACUUUCCCUCACAGACCUCAUCUCCUUAACGCAAGUGGCUGUACGCAGGGUGCUGAGGAGACCUUGUCCCCUUGUCCCCUUUUCCCGACCCUGUUUUAAGAACACCGCGUAACCUUAUUUUGUGAAGGAAAAAACAACAACAACAACAAAAUUGUGAGGGUAAAUGAGCGAACGGAGGAUGUUUUUCUCACAGAAAGGGGAGGGGGAGGCAGACGGCCGCGCGGUACAGCGCCGCCCGCGGUACUGCAGGGCCCCGCCCGCUGCUCGCUUCACAAAAUGGCGCCCGGCGGGGCCGCGCCGAGCGGUACUGAGGCGACAAAAUGGCGGCGGGCGGAGAGCGCGGGAAGGGCCCGCGGCGCCCUGAGGGCCGCUCGUUCCCUUCCCGUCCCCCUCACCGUCCCAUUUUGAAGUGUUUUUUUCCCCUCACAGCGUGAAGAUUUUGGGGUCAACGCUGCUCUUUCCUCCCCCUCCACACGCGCCCUCCCAGGUGGGUAUUUCGAUAGCUUGAUGCCUAAUUUCUCCCCCUCCACUUCUCUCCUCCGCAGGGGUUGCAAUCGCUGUCCUCACCGCGUGGAAAAUGCCCAAUUAAAAAAACAAAAACAAAAAAAAAAAAAAAAAAAAAAGCAAAACAACGCUAAAAAAGCCCCAAACAGCCGAGGACUGAGGGAAGGAACUGCCUCCUCACGGCCACCGUUCUGGUAAUUAAAAACAUACAUGUGGUGAGAUCAGAUGUGGUAAUACUGUUAAAAAGAAAAAAAAAAAAAUCCUGUCAUAUUCUUGUGCUGCAGCUGCAAUACCACACAUCUUUCUGUGCUUUUUUUUUUUAUUGUUUGUAAUGCUUCCUUACCUUUAUCCACACCACAGUGUAGCAUUGCCCCUCCUUUGUUAAAAGCCUCAUACCUAAAAUACCUUUUUUUUUUCUUUUAAAAUUAGAGAUUUAGGGCCGUGCAGGUGCUCUUUAUUCCCACAUGUCUCUAUAUAUCUCCUUAUCCCAGAGAUGGAUUGCAGAACAAAGCCACUCACCUACAACGCUAUGAUCCAAUUACACACAAUUACUCUCACUUUGGCCCGUACGUAUCUUGGAUUUUAUAUAUUUAUUACCUUUGUUUUCCUCCAUUGGCUUUCUACUGUCCUAAGAGCAAGAGGGAAAAAAAAUUACACGCACACACCCAAAAGAAAAAAAAAAAAGACGAAAAAUAAUAGUUAAAAAAGGUAAAAACAAGCAAAAUGCGACCAGCCGCCCAUUUGAUCAGUCCGUGGUGAAGAUUGGUGCCUGAAUGCUUUAUUUGUUCCACAGAGGUGUAGAUUUCCCUUGGGAUGUUGGGGAAAGAUUUCUUAAUUAAAGGAUAAAAAAAUAAAAAGUAAAAAAUAAAGCAGUGAAACAGAACCAAAAAGGAAAGCAAUAUUAAUUAUUUAAAAAAAAGAAAAAAAAAAAAAGAAGAAGGCAGCUGACUCUGCCAGUGCAGUCGGGCAGGCACUGAAUUCAUUGCACCGAAAUGAGGACGGAUGAGCUGAACUGAGUGGCAGGGCUUAGUGCAGCUCCGGGAGGAGGGCUCAGCUCCUUGUCCCACUAUCCAGCGCCGCACACACCACCAUUUGUGUGCUUUUGUGCUUUAUUUCCAGCCCCGCGGGCUGCCCUACGUGAUGCACGGAGCGACGUGCGUGCCCCGCUGCUGUGCAUUCCUCUCCCUUUUAUUGCCUGCUCUAUGGCUCAGCUCGCUUUUUUUUUUCUCCCCCCUCUGCGGGCAGCAGGGUUGCUCUGCUUUCCUCUCCCCAGCUCGGCUGCUGAUUCCAGAAGUUUCUACAGCAAAGGAAAUGCACGGGGGAGGGGAGCACCUACUGCGGAGCUUUGCCGCAGCCGGGCAGGCGUGGAGGAGGAGGAGGAUGCGGAGGAUGCACCACCUCCCUCUCUCUCUUUCUCUUCCCCCCUCCCUCUCUCUUUGGUUCAGGACGCUUUCCAAGCCUCUCCCCCUCGCUACAUUUCCCCAUCCUUGCAGAGGGUGCUGGGAGGUGUUUGCAAGUUGUUUUUUUUCCUUCCCCCCCCCCCCCACGCACACACACACUCCGUUUCCUCCCCCUUUGCUAAAUAAAUUAAAAGCAGAGAUGUCUCCUGAUGGAGAUGGAUGAGGCUGGGCUCACUUGCAUGCACUGUGCCCCAGCUCCGAUCUGCUGCUUAGGGCAGAAGUGACCUUUCCCAGGCAGUGGGAGGGAGCUUCCCCCCACCCUGCUAUGCUGCUGCUUGGAAUUCAUCUUACAUAGCAGCCUCAUUUUUUUUUUUUUAUCCCCCCCUCCAAAGAACAGCUUGCUGCUACAGUGAUUGUUUUUUAUUAUUUUUAUUUAAUUAUUAUUUUCAGCCCAUGUUGCAGCUUCCUUAUGAUCGUUUUGUGUGUGUGUGUGUGUGUGUAUGCUUUGAACUGCAUUUUAAAUUUGCCCAGCUGGAGACAAGUCUCGAUUAGAGCUGGAACAAUAGCUCCAUUUUAUUAAUAAUGGGAAGGAUUUACGAUUCUACAGCACCUUCCUUGGAAGGCUUUCAAAACCAUUUGCAAACUCUCACAAAUGUAAGCUUUCACAGCCCUGCCUGUGAGGUGGGGAAAUGCAGGAUUGUUUGUGUAACUCCCACUCUACAGCAGAUAGCUUCUCUGUCACCAUGACUUCAAUGUGCACAGUCCAAGCAGUCACUUGUGAGCAAGGAGAGCAGGUAUUGGCACCUCCUCAUUAGCCUUCAUCAAUGAGAAUAUUGGCUAUGGUGUUGCGUGAGUGCCACUGGCUGACCAAUGGAGGGGCCCUACCCUGCUAAGCUGGAGCAACACUUUCUGAGUGGUGAUUUCAUUGCCUGGUUGCUGCAGUGAUUUGGAGCACAGCUGUGACGUUAUGCUUUUUCUGGCAAAAAUUUAGCUGAGGGGCCACUGUACCCUGUGGGAAUUGUACUACUUUUCUGUGGCAGUUUGGGAUAACUGAGGGCUUCCUUGGGAGUGUUGGACUUCUACCGCCACACGCUUUGGAUUGAAGAGUUACCAGAACGACAUCUGUGAGGUUUCCAAGCUAAACAAAACCUGAAUUUCUGGUGCAAAAAGCAACGUGAUUUCUGUCAUUCCUGCUGGGCAUUGCACGUGGGCCUUUUCAUGGAGAGGUAACGCCCUGCAGCUGUGUGUUAAACAUGGCAACAUACAGGAUACAGUGAUCUCUCCACUCCCAGGAGCCUGGAAGACUGAAGCCCUCUGCCUAGAGGAUGAAAUGCUUCAUGUUUGGAAAAAAAACUAGCAGGCUUUGUCUGUGACAGCUCCUUUCCUGUGGAUGUCCUUCCAGCCAGGCUGCCCGCAGUGUGACAGCAGUGACCCUGUGUGAGGUUUCUUUGAAGGACCUGGGAGACUGCGUGGCUUUUUCUUGUCCCUCGGAGGUGCUUCCCUGGCAGGGAGGGAGGAAAAUGAUUGGCAGUGCUGUCACAGGAGGCAUGCUUACCUGGCUAGGGGAAAGCUUGGUGUGGAAAAGCCAGCUGGUGCAUGGUUUGGGGAAGGAGAGGUUCCUUUCUCUCCAGAAUGGAAUCCCUUAAGGAAGGUAUAGACAAGCAGUUCCUGCUCUUGGGGCUUCUGGCUGGUUAAAACAAAGAGCUGAGCCCAUUUCCAUGGAGAAAUGUAUAAUAGAGCACGUUGCAGUGCUUUUCCUUGCGUGUGCGUGGCUUGGUCACACGUUUAACUAAUAGAUGGUUUGCAUGCAAGAGGUUAUUGCUUUUUUAUACUUUCAAUCAGUCCAUCUCCAUUGGGCAGAGCAGCUUCACAGCCACCAGCACGGGGGAAACUGAGGCACGGGGCUACAGUGGGAUUACAGGCAGAGCCGGGGAUAAGGCUCAGGUUUGCCGAGGCUCAGACCGACGUGCGUCAGAGGGCUGAUUAAAUGGAGAGAUUUGCAAAGGGAAGUGACCUAUAGCUCCAUGGCCGGGACGGUGUGCUGGACUCGAUCCUUGUGGGCACCUUCCAACUCAAAGGGCAGUUUGGUCAGGGGUAGGGCUGGGUAAGCACGGCGAGCGCGGCCGACAGGGAGCGAGAUGUGGUGAGCUCCUUCCAUUGCCUUAGCCUGGAGCACAGCCAACCCGCGGGGCUCAUCCAGCACUGAACUUUGGAGUCGUUGCAGAUAAACAGCGCUAUAGGCUAAUAAAAGGCUCUGCCACGCAGGGCCCGGUCUGCCCGCACCGCAAUGACUUUGUUACGUGCUGACUGCAGUGAGGGACGGCGCUGGGUUUGCCUUCUCCUGGCCUUGGAUGGAGAGGAGCGGGCAGAACCUCGAGGCCUUUUGCCCCGCACCCAUUUCUGCACGGCAGCCCUUUACAUUUCACAGCGUGCUCCAUUUUUUUUCCUACUCCUAUUCCUUUUGUAGCACAGCCCCCCUUUUUUGCAACAGUCCCCCUUUCUUCCUUCGUACCGUAUGUUUUAUUUGCUUAUUUCUUUAUGUGCAAUCCCUUAAUCCAUCACCUUGCAUUGCAGCCCCGCUUUUCGGCAUGCAUCCCUUGCUUUCCACAACCCACCUCGUGCAUUUAUUACUUUCCAUCGCAGCUCCCGUUUCUGGCUCGCACCUCCUCUUUUUUUUUUUUUUUUUUUUUUUGGCCGUGCUUCCUUUAUCUAUGACUUCCCAUCCCAGCCCUGUUUGUAUCUGCCAUACAGUCCCUCCGUCACGUCGCGUUACACCGCGCUCUGCCCGCUCCGCUCCCGCAGC
ensembl:lncRNA